ACUAAGCGUGUAGAAAGCUUAUCGGUUCCUUGUUUGGACGAGGGUUCGAAUCCCUCCAGCUCCACUC
rnacentral:tmRNA from 1 species